rnacentral:rRNA from 1 species
UCGUUGUAGCAAUACGAUGGAAAGUCUAGUGGCGAACGGGUGCUUAACACGUGGGCAACCUGCCAGGAAGUGGGGGAUAGCUCGCCGAAAGGCGAAUUAAUACCGCAUGUGAUUAGAGAGGACAUCCUUUCGAAAUUAAAGUCGGGGCAACCUGACGCUUCUUGUGGGGCCCGCGGCCUAUCGGCUAGUUGGUGUGGUAAAGGCUCACCAAGGCUUUGACGGGUAGCUGGUCUGAGAGGACGACCAGCCACACUGGGACUGAGACACGGCCCAGACACCUACGGGUGGCAGCAGUCGAGAAUUUUUGACAAUGGGGGAAACCCUGAUCGAGCGACGCCGCGUGGAGGAUGAAGGUCUUCGGAUUGUAAACUCCUGUCAUUGGGGAACAAGGUGCAUACGUUAACUGCGUGCGCAUUGAUAGUACCCGAAGAGGAAGAGACGGCUAACUCUGUGCCAGCAGCCGCGGUAAUACAGAGGUCUCAAGCGUUGUUCGGAUUCAUUGGGCGUAAAGGGUGCGUAGGCGGCGCGGUAAGUCGGGUGUGAAAUCUCGGAGCUUAACUCCGAAACUGCAUUCGAUACUGCCGUGCUUGAGGACUGGAGAGGAGACUGGAAUUCACGGUGUAGCA